AUGAACGUUGGCGGCGUGGAUUAGGCAUGCAAGUCGAGCGGGCGUAGCAAUACGCCAGCGGCGCAAGGGUGAGUAAGGCGACGGCAACCAACCCCGAGGAUGGGUAUAGCCGCGGGAAACUGCGGGCAAUCCCCAGCGAUGCGAGGGCGUCGGCAUCGACGCUUCGCCAAAAGGAUCCGUCCGCCUCGGGACGGGCCGUCGUGGUAUUAGGUAGUUGGCGGGGUAGCGGCCCACCAAGCCUUCGAUGCCUACCGGGCGUGCGAGCGCGGCCCGGCACACUGGGACUGAGACACUGCCCAGACUCCUACGGGAGGCUGCAGUCGAGAAUCUUCGGCAAUGGGCGCAAGCCUGACCGAGCGACGCCGCGUGGAGGACGAAGGCCUUCGGGUUGUAAACUCCUGUCGAGGGGGAGAAAGGCAUCGCAAGGUGCUUGAUCGAUCCCUGGAGGAAGCACGGGCUAAGUUCGU
rnacentral:rRNA from 1 species